rnacentral:rRNA from 1 species
AGAAUUUGAUCUUGGUUCAGAAUGAACGCUGGCGGCAUGGAUUAGGCAUGCAAGUCGAACGUACUCCCUUCGGGGAGAAAGUGGCGAAAGGGUGAGUAACACGUGAGCAACCUGCCUCCGGAUCCGGAAUAAUCCAGGGAAACUUGGUCUAAAACCGGAUGAAGACAUUGGUCCGCAUGGUCUAAUGUUAAAAUAUUUAUAGUCCGGAGAGGGGCUCGCGGCCCAUUAGCUUGUUGGCGGGGUAAUGGCCCACCAAGGCUACGACGGGUAGGUGGUCUGAGAGGAUGGUCACCCACACUGGGACUGAGACACUGCCCAGACUCCUACGGGAGGCUGCAGUCGAGAAUCUUCCGCAAUGGGCGCAAAGCCUGACGGAGCGAUGCCGCGUGAGGGAUGAAGGCCUUCGGGUUGUAAACCUCUGUCAUCCGGGACGAAAACAAUGACGGUACCGGAAAAGGAAGCCACGGCUAACCACGUGCCAGCCGCUGC